rnacentral:misc_RNA from 1 species
UCGAGUGUUAAACCUUUUAUAAAGGGUUACCUCCCGUCCUUUGUUGAGGGCUCCCUUACCUUUUAGGGGGGGAGCUUUUUUCAGAAAACCUUCUGCUUCGGCGUGGUUAUACCCGCCGGAACACCUUCAAAAUACUAGUUUUUUAAAACUGUUCAGUCCGAGAAAAUUUUUAAAAGCAAAUA